GAGAGAGAGAGAGAGAGAAGAGAUAAGAAAAAGCUAUGCAGUUAGAAAUCCCUGAGUAACGACAUGAAUGUCAAAUAAGCACAAUUUUGUUUUCAUUUAAUAAACAGUACAAGUAAAAAUGAUGUAAUUUACACCAGAAAAGCAAGGUUGAGAAAAGAUCAGAUCAUCAGAAACUACAUAAAGGCCAUAUCAUCCACCUCUGCAUUUAACAUUGAUAAUAUUCAAAAGCAAAGGUCUAUGAUAUUGUCAACAAACAACACGAAAAAAUUUUCCCAAUAUAACUAAAAAAUUAUUCAACACUAUCCAAAACCUUUAAAAGAAGAACACCCAUGAGUAAAAGUGAGGAAAAA
rnacentral:misc_RNA from 1 species